GAUGAACGCUGGCGGUAUGCCUAACACAUGCAAGUCGAACGAAGUCUUCGGACUUAGUGGCGGACGGGUGAGUAACGCGUGAGAAUCUGCCUUGAGGAUGGGGACAACAGUUGGAAACGACUGCUAAUACCCGAUGUGCCGGAAGGUGAAAAUUUUUUGCCUCAAGAGGAGCUCGCGUCUGAUUAGCUAGUUGGUGGGGUAAAAGCGUACCAAGGCAACGAUCAGUAGCUGGUCUGAGAGGAUGAGCAGCCACACUGGGACUGAGACACGGCCCAGACUCCUACGGGAGGCAGCAGUGGGGAAUUUUCCGCAAUGGGCGAAAGCCUGACGGAGCAAUACCGCGUGAGGGAGAAAGGCCUUUGGGUUGUAAACCUCUUUUCUCAGGGAAGAAGAUUCUGACGGUACCUGAGGAAUAAGCAUCGGCUAACUCCGUGCCAGCAGCCGCGGUAAUACGGAGGAUGCAAGCGUUAUCCGGAAUUAUUGGGCGUAAAGCGUCCGCAGGUGGUCUUUCAAGUCUGCUGUCAAAGACCAGAGCUUAACUCUGGGCAGGCGGUGGAAACUGAGAGACUAGAGUUCGGUAGGGGUAGCGGGAAUUCCCAGUGUAGCGGUGAAAUGCGUAGAUAUUGGGAAGAACAUCGGUGGCGAAGGCGCGCUACUGGACCGAAACUGACACUCAGGGACGAAAGCUAGGGUAGCGAAAGGGAUUAGAUACCCCUGUAGUCCUAGCUGUAAACGAUGGAAACUAGGUGUGGCUUGUAUCGACCCGAGCCGUGCCGUAGCCAACGCGUUAAGUUUCCCGCCUGGGGAGUACGCACGCAAGUGUGAAACUCAAAGGAAUUGACGGGGGCCCGCACAAGCGGUGGAGUAUGUGGUUUAAUUCGAUGCAACGCGAAGAACCUUACCAGGGCUUGACAUGUCCGGAACUUUUCUGAAAGGAGAAGGUGCCUUCGGGAACCGGAACACAGGUGGUGCAUGGCUGUCGUCAGCUCGUGUCGUGAGAUGUUGGGUUAAGUCCCGCAACGAGCGCAACCCUCGUCUUUAGUUGCCAGCAUUAAGGUGGGCACUCUAGAGAGACUGCCGGUGACAAACCGGAGGAAGGUGAGGAUGACGUCAAGUCAGCAUGCCCCUUACGCCCUGGGCUACACACUUACUACAAUGGUUGGGACAAAGGGCAGCGAACCCGCGAGGGAGAGCGAAUCUCAUCAAACCCAGCCUCAGUUCAGAUUGCUCUCUGCAACUCGAGAGCAUGAAGGAGGAAUCGCUAGUAAUCGCAGGUCAGCAUACUGCGGUGAAUUCGUUCCCGGGCCUUGUACACACCGCCCGUCACACCAUGGAAGCUGGUCACGCCCGAAGUAGUUACCCUAACUUUCGAGAGGGGGACUCCUAAGGCAGGGCUAGUGACUGGGGUGAAGUCGUAACAAGGUAGCCG
rnacentral:rRNA from 1 species